rnacentral:rRNA from 1 species
CCCUCAAAGAUGAUGAGGUUAAUAGGUUCGAGGUGGAAGCAUGGUGACAUGUGGAGCUGACGAAUACUAAUCGAUCGAAGACUUAAUCAA